rnacentral:rRNA from 1 species
AUUGAACGCUGGCGGCAGGCUUAACACAUGCAAGUCGAGCGGAGACGAGGUGCUUGCACCUUAUCUUAGCGGCGGACGGGUGAGUAAUGCUUAGGAAUCUGCCUAUUAGUGGGGGACAACAUUCCGAAAGGAAUGCUAAUACCGCAUACGUCCUACGGGAGAAAGCAGGGGAUCUUCGGACCUUGCGCUAAUAGAUGAGCCUAAGUCGGAUUAGCUAGUUGGUGGGGUAAAGGCCUACCAAGGCGACGAUCUGUAGCGGGUCUGAGAGGAUGAUCAGCCACACUGGGACUGAGACACGGCCCAGACUCCUACGGGAGGCAGCAGUGGGGAAUAUUGGACAAUGGGGGGAACCCUGAUCCAGCCAUGCCGCGUGUGUGAAGAAGGCCUUAUGGUUGUAAAGCACUUUAAGCGAGGAGGAGGCUACUGAGACUAAUACUCUUGGAUAGUGGACGUUACUCGCAGAAUAAGCACCGGCUAACUCUGUGCCAGCAGCCGCAGUAAAAC